rnacentral:tRNA from 1 species
UACAUUAUGGUGUAGUGGCAUAUAAAUUUUUGAUGUUUAAGGGAAAAGUUCAAACUUUUUUUUGUAG